UACGGAGGGUGCGAGCGUUGUCCGGAAUCACUGGGCGUAAAGGGCGCGUAGGCGGCCUGAUAAGUAGGGGGUGAAAUCCUGCGGCUUAACCGCAGGGCUGCCUUCUAAACUGUCAGGCUUGAGCACAGUAGAGGCAGGUGGAAUUCCCGGUGUAGUGGUGAAAUGCGUAGAUAUCGGGAGGAACACCAGUGGCGAAGGCGACUACCUGGCCUGUUCUUGACGCUGAGGCGCGAAAGCUAGGGGAGCAAACGGG
rnacentral:rRNA from 1 species